rnacentral:rRNA from 1 species
UGUAGCGGUGAAAUGCGUAGAGAUCUGGAGGAAUACCGGUGGCGGGAUCAGCUCACUGGACAAAGACUGACGCUCAGGUGCGAAAGCGUGGGGAGUAAACAGGAUUAGAUACCCUGGUAGUCCACGCCGUAAACGAUGUCGAUUUGGAGGUUGUGCCCUUGAGGCGUGGCUUCCGGAGCUAACGCGUUAAAUCGACCGCCUGGGGAGUACGGUUGCAAGGUUAAAACUCAAAUGAAUUGACGGGGGCCCGCACAAGCGGUGGAGCAUGUGGUUUAAUUCGAUGCAACGCGAAGAACCUUACCUGGUCUUGAAUCCACAGAACUUAGCAGAGAUGCUUUGGUGCCUUCGGGAGCUGUGAGUUUGGUCCCUUCGGGCACUCUCAGACAGGUGCUGCAUGGCUGUCGUCAGCUCCUGUUGUGAAAUGUUGGGUUAAGUCCCGCAACGAGCGCAACCCUUAUCCUUUGUUGCCAGCGGUUAGGCCGGGAACUCAAAGGAGACUGCCAGUGAUAAACUGGAGGAAGGUGGGGAUGACGUCAAGUCAUCAUGGCCCUUACGAGUAGGGCUACACACGUGCUACAAUGGCGCAUACAAAGAGAAGCGACCUCGCGAGAGCAAGCGGACCUCAUAAAGUGCGUCGUAGUCCGGAUUGGAGUCUGCAACUCGACUCCAUGAAGUCGGAAUCGCUAGUAAUCGUAGAUCAGAAUGCCACGGUGAAUACGUUCCCGGGCCUUGUACACACCGCCCGUCACACCAUGGGAGUGGGUUGCAAAAGAAGUAGGUAGCUUAACCUUCGGAGGGCGCUUACCACUUU